CUGUGAGUCAGAUGCAGGUUCUCAGACUCCUGAGCCAGUAGAAACACUCCCCGGCCUUGAAUCUCGAUUGACUCUGUUUCCUUCCUUUCCUCUUCUGUGAAUCAUCCAUGCCACACAAAAGAUGAGGAAAAUGAGGCCCAGAGAUUUGAAGAAACCUGCCCAAUGUCACUAAGUGGUUUGAGAAGUGGACUCUCUGAGGCAUAUCAUCAUCAUCAUCAUCAUCAUCAUCAUCAUCAUCAUCAUCAUUUUAACAAAGGACUCAUGCAACUAAAAAGUUUCAGUUGUAAGGACAGGCUAUGCAGUUAAUAGGGGCAAUCAUAGGAUUGACCAUAUAAUAGUAUCUCUACCUCUCACUCACUACCCACUAUAGUGAAGCUUGUUGAGUAGGAGGAAGGGGACUACAGAGUCAAAACGGCCCUCCCACAAGUAGAGCCCUAUAUCAGAUGGC